CUCAGUGAAAUUGAACUCGCUGUGAAGAUGCAGUGUACCCGCGGCAAGACGGAAAGACCCCGUGAACCUUUACUAUAGCUUGACACUGAACAUUGAGCCUUGAUGUGUAGGAUAGGUGGGAGGCUUUGAAGCGUGGACGCCAGUCUGCGUGGAGCCGACCUUGAAAUACCACCCUUUAAUGUUUGAUGUUCUAACGUGGACCCGUAAUCCGGGUUGCGGACAGUGUCUGGUGGGUAGUUUGACUGGGGCGGUCUCCUCCUAAAGAGUAACGGAGGAGCACGAAGGUUGGCUAAUCCUGGUCGGACAUCAGGAGGUUAGUGCAAUGGCAUAAGCCAGCUUGACUGCGAGCGUGACGGCGCGAGCAGGUGCGAAAGCAGGUCAUAGUGAUCCGGUGGUUCUGAAUGGAAGGGCCAUCGCUCAACGGAUAAAAGGUACUCCGGGGAUAACAGGCUGAUACCGCCCAAGAGUUCAUAUCGACGGCGGUGUUUGGCACCUCGAUGUCGGCUCAUCACAUCCUGGGGCUGAAGUAGGUCCCAAGGGUAUGGCUGUUCGCCAUUUAAAGUGGUACGCGAGCUGGGUUUAGAACGUCGUGAGACAGUUCGGUCCCUAUCUGCCGUGGGCGCUGGAGAACUGAGGGGGGCUGCUCCUAGUACGAGAGGACCGGAGUGGACGCAUCACUGGUGUUCGGGUUGUCAUGCCAAUGGCACUGCCCGGUAGCUAAAUGCGGAAGAGAUAAGUGCUGAAAGCAUCUAAGCACGAAACUUGCCCCGAG
rnacentral:rRNA from 1 species